rnacentral:rRNA from 1 species
AACGAACGCUGGCGGUACGCCUAACACAUGCAAGUCGAACGGUAACAGGUCCUUCGGGAUGCUGACGAGUGGCGGACGGGUGAGUAACACGUGGAUAUCUGCCUAGGGGUAGGGGACAACAGCUGGAAACGGCUGCUAAUACCGUAUAGUUCCUUACGAGGUAAAGGCCUUCGGGUCGCCCUUAGAGGAGUCCGCGCUGGAUUAGCUUGUUGGUGAGGUAAUGGCUCACCAAGGCUGCGAUCCAUAGCUGGUCUGAGAGGAUGAUCAGCCACACUGGGACUGAGACACGGCCCAGACUCCUACGGGAGGCAGCAGUGGGGAAUAUUGCGCAAUGGGGGAAACCCUGACGCAGCGAUACCGCGUGGGUGAUGAAGGUCUUCGGAUUGUAAAGCCCUUUCAGUGGGGAAUAUAGUGAAGGUACCCACAGAAGAAGCUCCGGCUAACUCCGUGCCAGCCGCCGCGGUAAUU